UACGUAGGGUGCAAGCGUUAAUCGGAAUUACUGGGCGUAAAGCGUGCGCAGACGGUUUUGUAAGUUUGUCGUGAAAGCCCCGGGCUCAACCUGGGAAUUGCGAUGAAGACUGCAAGGCUUGAAUCUGGCAGAGGGGGGUAGAAUUCCACGUGUAGCAGUGAAAUGCGUAGAGAUGUGGAGGAACACCGAUGGCGAAGGCAGCCCCCUGGGUCAAGAUUGACGCUCAUGCACGAAAGCGUGGGGAGCAAACAGG
rnacentral:rRNA from 1 species